AUAAUAUAGAUAGGGUUUUGCUAUUUUGUCCCGGCUGGUUUCAAACUCCUGAGCUCAACUGAUCUGCCUGCCUCAGCCUCCCAACGUGAUGCAAUUACAGGCAUGAGCCACCAUGCCUGGCCACUUUUUUCUGUUUUGAGACAGGGUCUCACUGUCUCCCAGGCUGGAGUUCAGUGCACAAUCAUAGCUCACUGCAGUCUCGACCUCCUAAGCUCAAGUGAUCCUCCCACCUCAGCCUCCUGAGUAGUGGGACCACAGGUGUGCACCACCGUGUCCAGCUAAUUUUUGUAUUUUUGUAGAGGUGGGGUCUUAUCAUGUUGCCCAGGCUGGUCUCAAACUCCAGGGCUCAAGUGAUCCGCCCUCCUUGGCCUCCCAAAGUGCUGGAUUACAGACCUGAGCCACCACACCAGGCUGCCCCACACAUUGUAAAGUUUCGCUUCCCCCUAAUGUCAGAUUCCAAAGACAGCAGCCUCCAUGAGUCAGAAAGAAACAUCAGUCAUUUUGAAAUCAACAUCCAAGUGAACUGUAGAAAGGCCUCUGAAUUUUUGAAAUGGCAAUAACAGAUGAUGUAAUACAGACAAAGACGCCCCCACCCCACUGCUUUCCCACUGCAUGCUUUACAUGACACGGCACAGCUUCCACGCCAGCAGCUUCAAUCAUGUAAGGCGAAUGCAGUCCCAUCAAGACCAUAGCAUUGGCUGAGCAGCUACUCCAUGCUGGGCACUGUCCUGGGCACUGGAAGUACAGCAAAGAACGAAACCAAGACCAUGCCCUCCAGAAGCCUGCAUUCCAGCAGGACAGACGGACUUCAAAACACAGAGCAGGAAAAUGCACAGCGUGUCAGAUGGUGAUGAUUACUAUGAGAAAAAUAAAGCAGGCAAAGAGAACAGGACUAUUUGGAUGAGGGUGGUGCAAAUUCAAAUAAUCAGACAGCCUUUGCUGGGAAGGUGAUAUCCGAGCAAAGAUUCGAGAAGGUGGGGAGAGCCCCAGAACCUUCCCGGCAGAGCAGAGGCGGCCCGGGAAGCUCUGGACUCACAGCUGUUCAGCAGGGCCACCACACGGCCACUUCCAGACAGAGCCCCUGGCUGCUGGGUAGGGACCCCAGCACCUCAGAGUACCCUUUCUGGGGUCACUUCUGGCACCCUCUGCAAACCUCAAGGGGGAAGUGUGAGGCCUGGGGCUGUCCAUCAGGGUCCAGGCACCUCCUGAAGGAGCCUCUCAAAGCCAUCCAAUCACCAGCUCCAGACCCACGCUGUCAGACAUCUCUGUGGCCACCAGACCACUGCCACUCUCACGGGUGUGACGACAUGGGAUCUGUCUACUGGUAGUCUUCUGCCUUCAUGGAAUUCUGCAACUUCCUUCCUGCCUCGGCCACAGCAUGUCAGCCAAGCACCUGUCAGGGUCCCUGGCUCAUGGGACCCAUCACUGUGUUUAGAAGCUCAACACAGUGCUCCUGCCUCCUCUUCAGACCCAUCAGAACUUGCUACCAUGGGUGUGUUUUAAUAAAUAACUUUAUUUCUGCAGCCAAAAAAAAAAAAAAAGAUAGUUGCAAUAUUACCUUUAAAAGCACUUUUAAGCAUCAAUUGUGAAAUAAAAAGCCCGAGCAAAAGCCCUCUUUGAGUGUGAA
rnacentral:antisense_RNA from 1 species